rnacentral:rRNA from 1 species
CCGAAAGGGAGAUUAAUACCGCAUAAUAAUCAGUUUUCACAUGGAGAUUGAUUUAAAGGAGUAAUCCGCUUUGAGAUGGACCCGCGGCGCAUUAGCUAGUUGGUAGGGUAACGGCCUACCAAGGCGACGAUGCGUAGCCGACCUGAGAGGGUGAUCGGCCACAUUGGAACUGAGAGACGGUCCAGACUCCUACGGGAGGCAGCAGUGGGGAAUAUUGCACAAUGGGCGAAAGCCUGAUGCAGCAACGCCGCGUGAGUGAAGAAGGUUUUCGGAUUGUAAAGCUCUGUCUUUGGGGACGAUAAUGACGGUACCCAAGGAGGAAGCCACGGCUAACUACGUGCCAGCAGCCGCGGUAAUACGUAGGUGGCGAGCGUUGUCCGGAAUUACUGGGCGUAAAGAGUGCGUAGGCGGAUAUUUAAGUGAGAUGUGAAAUACCCGGGCUUAACCCGGGCACUGCAUUUCAAACUGGAUAUCUAGAGUGCGGGAGAGGAGAAUGGAAUUCCUAGUGUAGCGGUGAAAUGCGUAGAGAUUAGGAAGAACACCAGUGGCGAAGGCGAUUCUCUGGACCGUAACUGACGCUGAGGCACGAAAGCGUGGGUAGCAAACAGGAUUAGAUACCCUGGUAGUCCACGCCGUAAACGAUGAGUACUAGGUGUAGGAGGUAUCGACCCCUUCUGUGCCGCAGUAAACACAAUAAGUACUCCGCCUGGGAAGUACGAUCGCAAGAUUAAAACUCAAAGGAAUUGACGGGGGCCCGCACA